rnacentral:rRNA from 1 species
UAGGGAAUUUUCCUCAAUGCCCGAAAGGGUGAAGGAGCGACGCCGCGUGCAGGAUGAAGGUUUUCGGAUUGUAAACUGCUUUUGUUUGGGAAUAAGGCAGGGAUGUGAAUAAUAUCUCUGUUUGACGGUACCAAACGAAUAAGCUACGGCUAACUCUGUGCCAGCAGCCGCGGUAAUACAGAGGUAGCAAACGUUGUCCGGAUUCACUGGGCGUAAAGGGCUUGUAGGCUGUCUCACAAGUCAGAUGUGAAAUCGUUCAGCUCAACGGAACAAUUGCAUUUGAUACUGUGAGGCUUGAGUGCAGAAGGGGAACAUGGAAUUUCCGGUGUAGCGGUGAAAUGCGUAGAUAUCGGAAAGAACACCUGUGGCGAAGGCGGUGUUCUGGUCUGCAACUGACGCUGAGGAGCGAAAGCCAGGGGAGCAAACG